rnacentral:rRNA from 1 species
ACAGCAGUCGCCGCGGGAAUACGUAGGGUGCGAGCGUUAAUCGGAAUUACUGGGCGUAAAGCGUGCGCAGGCGGUUAUAUAAGACAGAUGUGAAAUCCCCGGGCUCAACCUGGGACCUGCAUUUGUGACUGUAUAGCUAGAGUACGGUAGAGGGGGAUGGAAUUCCGCGUGUAGCAGUGAAAUGCGUAGAUAUGCGGAGGAACACCGAUGGCGAAGGCAAUCCCCUGGACCUGUACUGACGCUCAUGCGCGAAAGCGUGGGAAGCAAACAGGAUUAGAUACCCCUGUAGUCCCUGUCUCUUAUAC